CCUACGGUGUGCAGCAGUGAGGAAUAUUGGUCAAUGGCCGGAAGGCUGAACCAGCCAAGCCGCGUGAAGGACGAAGGUGCCAAGCAUUGUAAACUUCUUUUGUCAAGGGAAAAAAUCAGGCUCGAGAGCCUGACCGAGGGUACUUGAAGAAAAAGCAUCGGCUAACUCCGUGCCAGCAGCCGCGGUAAUACGGAGGAUACGAGCGUUAUCCGUAUUUAUUGGGUUUAAAGGGUGCGUAGGCGGGCUGUUAAGUCAGCGGUAAAAGCCCGGGGCUCAACCCCGGCGGGCCGUUGAACCUGGCUGGCUGGAGAUGUCGAGAGGUAGGCGGGAUGCGCAGUGUAGCGGUGAAAUGCUUAGAUAUUGCGCAGAACUCAGAUUGCGAAGGCAGCAUACCGGCGGCGAUCUGACGCUGAGGCACGAAAGCGUGGGUAUCGAACAGGAUUAGAUACCCCAGUAGUC
rnacentral:rRNA from 1 species